AAAAACCCAGGUGGUGUGAGAUGGAUCCGCGUCUGAUUAGCCAGUUGGCGGGGUAACGGCCCACCAAAGCGACGAUCAGUAGCCGACCUGAGAGGGUGACCGGCCACAUUGGGACUGAGACACGGCCCAAACUCCUACGGGAGGCAGCAGUGGGGAAUAUUGCACAAUGGGCGCAAGCCUGAUGCAGCGACGCCGCGUGAGUGAAGAAGUAUCUCGGUAUGUAAAGCUCUAUCAGCAGGGAAGAAAAUGACGGUACCUGACUAAGAAGCCCCGGCUAACUACGUGCCAGCAGCCGCGGUAAUACGUAGGGGGCAAGCGUUAUCCGGAUUUACUGGGUGUAAAGGGAGCGUAGACGGCGACGCAAGUCUGGAGUGAAAGCCCGGGGCCCAACCCCGGGACUGCUUUGGAAACUGUGCUGCUGGAGUGCAGGAGAGGUAAGUGGAAUUCCUAGUGUAGCGGUGAAAUGCGUAGAUAUUAGGAGGAACACCAGUGGCGAAGGCGGCUUACUGGACUGUAACUGACGUUGAGGCUCGAAAGCGUGGGGAGCAAACAGGAUUAGAUACCCUGGUAGUCCACGCC
rnacentral:rRNA from 1 species